CUUUUUUGUUAUUCGAUGUAGUUUAGAAAUCUAAAUUAAUACCUGCAUUGUUUACAAUGAAGUGAAAGGAUUGUUCGAAGUAGUUAAGAAAGGUUGCAUUCUCUUAGGGUCUUUACGCUACUAAGCACAUUAUUUGACUUAUUAUCUCACUCUUUAUUCUGAACCUUUGCUACAAUUAUUCCUUCCAACCGUGAGUGCAACUUUGCUUUUUCAUUGUUGUUGUUGUUGUUGUUGUUGUUGUUUUUUUUUUUUUUUUUUUUUUUU
rnacentral:lncRNA from 1 species